rnacentral:rRNA from 1 species
AUGAAAGCUAAAAGUAAGUUAAGGACCCCGGAUGACUAUGAUCGGGUGAUAUCGGCAGAAAUACCUGACAAAAAAAAAUAUCCUGUUCUCCAUGAUCUGGUGGUCAAACACAUGUUGCAUGGUCCAUGUGGCGCGCUCAAGAAAAGUUGCCCUUGCAUGAUAGAUGGACAAUGUCGGUUUCAUUACCCGCGAGAUUUCUGUGAUGCUACAUUACAAGGGAAAGACUCAUAUCCCAUCUAUAGAAGGAGGGAUGAUGGGGUGAGAGUUAGGAUCAGAGGAGCAGAUUUGGACAAUAGAUGGGUGGUCCCUUACAACCCAUUUCUGCUGAUGACAUACAACUGUCACAUUAAUGUCGAAGCAUGCUCGAGCAUCAAGGCAGUGAAGUACUUAUUCAAAUACAUCUACAAAGGGCAUGAUAAGGCAUCAUUUGCGUUCGAGCAGGAUAUUAUCAAUGACGGGGGAAUCAUUGAUGAAAUUCGACAAUAUAGGGAU